rnacentral:rRNA from 1 species
AGUGGGCGCAAGCCUGAUCCAGCAAUGCCGCGUGGGUGAAGACGGCCUGCGGGUUGUAAAGCCCUUUAGGUGGGGAAGAACGGUGUCGGGUGAAUAGCCAGGCAUUAUGACAUUACCCACGGAAUAAGCACCGGCUAACUCCGUGCCAGCAGCCGCGGUAAUACGGAGGGUGCGAGCGUUAAUCGGAAUGACUGGGCGUAAAGCGUGCGUAGGUGGUAGCGUUAGUCGGCCGUGAAAGCCCUGGGCUUAACCUGGGAAUGGCGGUUGAAACGGCGCAACUUGAGUGGGUUAGAGGACUGUGGAACUCCUGGUGUAGCGGUGAAAUGCGUAGAGAUCAGGAAGAACACCGAUGGCGAAGGCAGCGGUCUGGGGCCACACUGACACUGAGGCACGAAAGCGUGGGGAGCAAA